rnacentral:tRNA from 1 species
GGCUGGAUAGCUCAGUUGGUAGAGCACCGGAACGGAAAUCCUGAGGUCACAGGUUCAAACCCCGCUGCAGUCA